UACGAAGGGGGCUAGCGUUGCUCGGAAUCACUGGGCGUAAAGCGCACGUAGGCGGCUUUUUAAGUCAGAGGUGAAAUCCUGGAGCUCAACUCCAGAACUGCCUUUGAUACUGGAGAGCUUGAGUCCGGGAGAGGUGAGUGGAACUGCGAGUGUAGAGGUGAAAUUCGUAGAUAUUGGGAAGAACACCGGUGGCGAAGGCGGCUCACUGGCUCGUAACUGACGCUCAGGCGCGACAGCGUGGGGAUCAAACAGG
rnacentral:rRNA from 1 species